rnacentral:rRNA from 1 species
UAGGGAAUCUUCCGCAAUGGGCGAAUGCCUGACGGAGCAACGCCGCGUGAGUGAAGAAGGAUUUCGGUUCGUAAAGCUCUGUUGUUAGGGAAGAAUGAUUGUGUAGUAACUAUACACAGUAGAGACGGUACCUAACCAGAAAGCCACGGCUAACUACGUGCCAGCAGCCGCGGUAAUACGUAGGUCCCGAGCGUUGUCCGGAUUUAUUGGGCGUAAAGCGAGCGCAGGCGGUUAGAUAAGUCUGAAGUUAAAGGCUGUGGCUUAACCAUAGUACGCUUUGGAAACUGUUUAACUUGAGUGCAAGAGGGGAGAGUGGAAUUCCAUGUGUAGCGGUGAAAUGCGUAGAUAUAUGGAGGAACACCGGUGGCGAAAGCGGCUCUCUGGCUUGUAACUGACGCUGAGGCUCGAAAGCGUGGGGAGCAAACAGGAUUAGAUACCCUGGUAGUCCACGCCGUAAACGAUGAGUGCUAGGUGUUAGACCCUUUCCGGGGUUUAGUGCCGCAGCUAACGCAUUAAGCACUCCGCCUGGGGAGUACGACCGCAAGGUUG